GACGAACGCUGGCGGCGUGCCUAAUACAUGCAAGUCGAGCGAGCGAAACUAACAGAUUUACUUCGGUAAUGACGUUAGGAAAGCGAGCGGCGGAUGGGUGAGUAACACGUGGGGAACCUGCCCCAUAGUCUGGGAUACCACUUGGAAACAGGUGCUAAUACCGGAUAAGAAAGCAGAUCGCAUGAUCAGCUUUUAAAAGGCGGCGUAAGCUGUCGCUAUGGGAUGGCCCCGCGGUGCAUUAGCUAGUUGGUAAGGUAAAGGCUUACCAAGGCGAUGAUGCAUAGCCGAGUUGAGAGACUGAUCGGCCACAUUGGGACUGAGACACGGCCCAAACUCCUACGGGAGGCAGCAGUAGGGAAUCUUCCACAAUGGACGCAAGUCUGAUGGAGCAACGCCGCGUGAGUGAAGAAGGUUUUCGGAUCGUAAAGCUCUGUUGUUGGUGAAGAAGGAUAGAGGUAGUAACUGGCCUUUAUUUGACGGUAAUGAACCAGAAAGUCACGGCUAACUACGUG
rnacentral:rRNA from 1 species